UGGGGAAUAUUGGACAAUGGGCGAAAGCCUGAUCCAGCAAUGCCGCGUGAGUGAUGAAGGCCUUAGGGUUGUAAAGCUCUUUUACCCGGGAUGAUAGUGACAGUACCGGGAGAAUAAGCUCCGGCUAACUCCGUGCCAGCAGCCGCGGUAAUACGGAGGGAGCUAGCGUUGUUCGGAAUUACUGGGCGUAAAGCGCGCGUAGGCGGCAUGCCAAGUCAGGGGUGAGAUCCCGGGGCUCAACCCCGGAACUGCCCUUGAAACUGGUAGUCUUGAGUUCGAGAGAGGUGAGUGGAAUUCCGAGUGUAGAGGUGAAAUUCGUAGAUAUUCGGAGGAACACCAGUGGCGAAGGCGGCUCACUGGCUCGAUACUGACGCUGAGGUGCGAAAGUGUGGGGAGCAAACAGGAUUAGAUACCCCCGUAGUCC
rnacentral:rRNA from 1 species